rnacentral:misc_RNA from 1 species
GAUGAAGAACGCAGUGAAAUGCGAUAAGUAGUGUGAAUUGCAGAAUUCAGUGAAUCAUCGAAUCUUUGAACGCACAUUGCGCCCCCUGGUAUUCCGGGGGGCAUGCCUGUCCGAGCGUCAUUGCUGCCCUCAAGCACGGCUUGUGUGUUGGGCCUCCGUCCUCCUCCCGGGGGACGGGCCCGAAAGGCAGCGGCGGCACCGCGUCCGGUCCUCGAGCGUAUGGGGCUUCGUCACCCGCUCUUGUAGGCCCGGCCGGCGCUUGCCGACACAUCAAUCUUUUUUCCAGGUUGACCUCGGAUCAGGUAGGGAUACCCGCUGAACUUAAGCAUAUCAAUAAGCGGAGGA